ACAACCAUUAGUUACCUGGGAGCUAAAUUUGCAUUACACUUAAUAAGGUUCCAAUUAACUUGUAAAAUAAAAUACUCUCCCUUAUGCAAGAGUCCAAGAUUAAAUAACACAAUGACAAGCAGAAUACCUAAAACAAAGAUCAACACUAGUAACAAAUACAUUCCCUUCCAGAUGCAUGCCACUGCUUAAAAGACUAAUCAUUGUCAUGUAAAAAAACUAAAAGUGGACAGUCAGACAAGUGAAGGAAGAUCAUUAGAUUUAUUUUUCAUUUAUUAACUUUCAAUUGAUGUGAUUUUUAUUGCAUUGAAAUAUUAAAGACGCCACUAGUAAAUCUUAGUCAUUCAGGUAAGGGACGGUAAAAAUCAUUGAUCAUCUAUAUGAGAAUUUGAGUAGAAAGAUCAGGGAAAAGGAGAUAUCUAUCACAUUGUGUGUGUGUGUCUGUGCGCAUCUCUGUGUGUGUAACUUGAAGAUAUACAAACAAAUUAAGGGAUAAGAAAAUUAACACACCUUAGCAUCAGGGUCAGCACCA
rnacentral:misc_RNA from 1 species